rnacentral:rRNA from 1 species
UGGAUCCAGACUUUGAUCCUGGCUCAGGACGAACGCUGGCGGCGUGCUUAACACAUGCAAGUCGAACGGGGUGUUUAUUUCGGUAAACACCAAGUGGCGAACGGGUGAGUAACGCGUAAGCAAUCUACCUUCAAGAUGGGGACAACACUUCGAAAGGGGUGCUAAUACCGAAUGAAUGUAAGAGUAUCGCAUGAGACACUUACUAAAGGAGGCCUCUGAAAAUGCUUCCGCUUGAAGAUGAGCUUGCGUCUGAUUAGCUAGUUGGUGAGGGUAAAGGCCCACCAAGGCGACGAUCAGUAGCCGGUCUGAGAGGAUGAACGGCCACAUUGGGACUGAGACACGGCCCAGACUCCUACGGGAGGCAGCAGUGGGGAAUCUUCCGCAAUGGGCGAAAGCCUGACGGAGCAACGCCGCGUGAACGAUGAAGGUCUUAGGAUCGUAAAGUUCUGUUGUUAGGGACGAAGGGUAAGGAUCAUAAUAAGGUUUUCAUUUGACGGUACCUAACGAGGAAGCCACGGCUAACUACGUGCCAGCAGCCGCGGUAAUACGUAGGCGGCAAGCGUUGUCCGGAAUUAUUGGGCGUAAAGGGAGCGCAGGCGGGAAACUAAGCGGAUCUUAAAAGUGCGGGGCUCAACCCCGUGAUGGGGUCCGAACUGGUUUUCUUGAGUGCAGGAGAGGAAAGCGGAAUUCCCAGUGUAGCGGUGAAAUGCGUAGAUAUUGGGAAGAACACCAGUGGCGAAGGCGGCUUUCUGGACUGUAACUGACGCUGAGGCUCGAAAGCUAGGGUAGCGAACGGGAUUAGAUACCCCGGUAGUCCUAGCCGUAAACGAUGGAUACUAGGUGUGGGAGGUAUCGACUCCUUCCGUGCCGGAGUUAACGCAAUAAGUAUCCCGCCUGGGGAGUACGGCCGCAAGGUUGCAACUCAAAGGAAUUGACGGA